rnacentral:rRNA from 1 species
AUACGGAGGGAGCAAGCGUUACUCGGAAUCACUGGGCGUAAAGCGCGCGCAGGCGGCUAUUUAAGUUGGAUGUGAAAGCCUACGGCUCAACCGUAGAACUGCAUCCAAAACUAUUUAGCUAGAGUGUAGGAGAGGAAGAUGGAAUUAGUUGUGUAGGGGUAAAAUCCGUAGAGAUAACUAGGAAUACCAAAAGCGAAGGCAAUCUUCUGGAACACUACUGACGCUGAGGCGCGAAAGCGUGGGGAGCAAACAGGAUUAGAAACCCCAGUAGUCC